rnacentral:rRNA from 1 species
CCUACGGGUGGCAGCAGUGGGGAAUAUUGCACAAUGGGGGAAACCCUGAUGCAGCGACGCCGCGUGAGUGAAGAAGUAUUUCGGUACGUAAAGCUCUAUCAGCAGGGAAGAAAAUGACGGUACCUGACUAAGAAGCCCCGGCUAACUACGUGCCAGCAGCCGCGGUAAUACGUAGGGGGCAAGCGUUAUCUGGAUUUACUGGGUGUAAAGGGAGCGUAGACGGCAGCGCAAGUCUGGAGUGAAAGCCCAUGGCUUAACCAUGGAACGGCUUUGGAAACUGUGCAGCUAGAGUGCAGGAGAGGUAAGCGGAAUUCCGAGUGUAGCAGUGAAAUGCGUAGAUAUUAGGAGGAACACCAGUGGCGAAGGCGGCUUACUGGACUGUAACUGACGUUGAGGCUCGAAGGCGUGGGGAGCAAACGGGAUUAGAUACCCCUGUAGUC